GAGACACUCCUAUAGAGCAAGACUUUGCUUUAGUGGGGCUUUGGUGCUCACUGAGUCUGCCCCUUGAGUGUGUUGCU
rnacentral:pre_miRNA from 1 species